AGGAAACAAACACAUGAAGGGUGAUGUCAUACCCAACACAGCCAGAGGCAAGUGUCUAGCAAGGCCUCUGCACAGAAAUCUUUGAUCUGCCCUCUGAGGAUCGCCACCGAGUCCCUCCUUCCAGCAUCAGCAUGACAACAUCCCUGCGGCUGGACUUGUCCCCACCUGCGAGCCGCCCUGAUGCCCACGAAGUUUUAAAAAGAAAAUCACUCCUACAAAGGCCUUUGAGUAUAAAACGAGGCCAGAAGAGGUUAUCUGCAUUGCAAAGACGCAAGAGCAGCAAACUGAACAGAAGACUGUGAACCCACAGGGGCUGGAACCCACAGGGACUCAGCCCAGAAAGCACUCUGUCCCCUUGGCCCAGGACCUCUCAGGGGUCUUCCAGAUAGGAUUUCUUUGUGCCAAACAGCUUCAUACUCAUGGCUCUGUGACUCUCACCUCCACCCCUACAUCUGCCCCUGUGAACCCGAAACCUCCCCAAGGUGUGGACUUCAGCUCUCAGCCGUGCAGUGCCCAGAUUCUACCAACAACUCUCACCAGGAGGGCAGCCACAGAUCACAAGCCCUGCCAACCAGGCACCUGGUGCUUCCAGGGGGGCUAGCACAGGGAACAGGGGCUAGGGACACCUUUCAUACAGAUUUGAGAACAGAAGUCACACGCACGUCUUUAAAAAUCAUGCUGAGGAAUAUAUCAAUUAAUGCAGGUGGUUUCACUUGAAGCAAGAAGAAUGACUGCAGCCUUAGAAAAGGAGGUAUUUUCUCUAAGUAACAUCAGAAAACAAUUUGGUUUCACUCAGCCUGACCACAAAACAUCUGCUUAUAUUAACUCAAACGUUAAUAUACCUGCAUCAUGGGUUAUAAAUGGAAAUUUACUGUGCAAACCAUAUAACACUCUGCAACCAUUUUGAAACAUGUAACAACUGCUCCUAUGGGUGAAAUAAUGAAUUAAAUUGGUAUUAUAGGGCUUAAUUCAUUAUUUUACCCUGAGGAAAAAUUCCAAAACAGUGAUUAUGAAUUAUGACCACAAUUUGCUAUAACACUUGCCAAUUUAAAACCAAUAGUGCCCUGCUUCUUUUCAUGUUCAGGGUUGAGUGUAUUAAGUAAGAUUUGGGUUGGCCAGACUGUAAGACACAGAACUUGGCCAUCACUCCCAAUUAAGGGAGAGGUUAAGUGAGCAUUAAAUAGGCAGCCCUCAAAGUUCUGAGUGUCACCUCCUUCUGCCCAAUCCACUUGCAGGAGCUCCGAACAAAUUAGGGAGGUCUUGCUGGUUCCGAUGGCUUCAGUCACUGAUCCUGGGAUCAGAUUGGGAACGGUUGGUAGCACGUUUACAGACAGGGACUCAGGACCCAACAAGGAAGUGGAAGGAUGGGGCACCAGCAGUCAUUGAGUACAGAAAAGCCUAAUGUUGGGACCCUUUGCUCUUCCUCUGCGUUGUCUACAUCCCCUUCUGGAGAGGCGCAGUGAACGCAGGUGUGCCCUGGGGCCAACACGAGCUGAGCAGCUCCCAUGGACCCUGCAUGCUGCCAGGUACUCUGCAUUCCCAGCAAUUCUGUGGGGUGGUGGUUCUUGCCACACUCAAGUCCAGUGAGGCAAAUCUUCUUGGCCCAAAUUACACCGACAGACAGUGAUAUAAAGAGGAUUUGUAACAGACUCUAUCGAGUCCCUGAGCCCACACACUUUUGUCAUCUCUUGCUGGGAUAGGGCAUCAGUGGAUUACGGAUGUCCUUGCUGCCAGCCUUUCUCUGGCCCAUCCCAGCAUGCUUUUAGAGGCUUCUAAGUGUCAGGCAUCAGCAAAGGUUAACAAACUUCUGCUGCUCACCACCUCCUACAGGAGAAAGGCAAACUUCUGACUCUUACUCAAGCUACUUCAUUUAUGAAGUGUAUAAAAGGG